rnacentral:rRNA from 1 species
UACGUAGGCAGCGAGCGUUGUUCGGAGUUACUGGGCGUAAAGAGUGCGUAGGCGGUUUUCUAAGUUUGGUGUGAAAUCUCCCGGCUUAACUGGGAGGGUGCGCCGAAAACUGGAAGGCUUGAGUAUGGGAGAGGUAAGCGGAAUUCCUGGUGUAGCGGUGAAAUGCGUAGAUAUCAGGAGGAACACCGGUGGUGUAGACGGCUUUCUGGUCUGUAACUGACGCUGAGGCGCGAAAGCGUGGGGAGCAAACAGG